AUGCAAUCAUUAAACUUGAACCCGGUGACAUCUCAGUGUUCUUCCAACAGACUCGAGGACAUGAAGAUACACACUAGGUCUGCAUCUCAGCCUCUCAGUCGAGUGAAAGCAGCAGCCGCUGACCAGGGCUCCAUCUCCCCUCUCAAAUCCUCUAAAGUCCCACCACCCUCCUCCGUCUCUGCCUCUGCCAAACGAAUUGGCCGCUCUUCAUCUUCAUCAACCAACCUCAAGAGGUGAGCCUGACCUCCCUCUAAUCAGCUUUCCUCCAAUCUUCUACACUUUCCGUUUCUUUCUUCCUUCUGCCUAUUCUCUCACUCGUCCACCUCUUACUCUUUGUUGACUCGUUAUUUCCAGCUCUUUUGUCUAACUUAUUCCUUCUUUCUUUCUCUCCCCUCUACUUCAUGUCCUCCCAGUUCCCUGGUGGCCUUCUUUCCUCUCUGUGAUUACCCUGUGCUCUGAAACAGAGGGCCGUAAACGCAAGGAACCAAGUUGGUUGCUCAGUGCUGUUGGCUUCAAGCGACUCGUUCCCUGCUGUUUAUGUAAUCAGAUAUCCAGAGUUAUAUCACCUACCUACUACUCUAUCACUCUCUCCAAACCAGCACCUAUCGGGUCACAGACAUGUAUUUUUGGACCAAGUGCAUACCCACUGCUUUCUAGUACUGUUCAAACCAUGUUGAAAACACUCUCUGGAGUAGGGGUGGGUGAUUAGAACUUUAAUUUUUAUAUGUAUGUAUAUAUGUUGGUGGGUAAUGCAUUACAAGUAAUGUAAUCAGAUUACCUUUUUCCCAAGUAGCUAGUAAAGUAAUCCAUUACUUGUUAUUUUACAAGAAAAUUUGAGUUACUUUUUCAAACAAGUAACAGCAGUUGUCAGUGCCGCUAGCCUUGUGGGCAGCGCGCCGAUAUAUAGCGCUGUUGCGCUUUGGGGGACCCGAGUUUGAGUCCUGGCUCACGGACCUUUCCCGAUCCACCCCCCCACCCCACCCCCACCUCGUUUCUUGUCAAUAUAUCCUAAUAAAAAUGCAAAAAUGGCACA
ensembl:lncRNA